rnacentral:rRNA from 1 species
AGAGUUUGAUCAUGGCUCAGGACGAACGCUGGCGGCGCGCUUAACACAUGCAAGUCGAGCGAGAACCAGUCCUUCGGGGCUGGGGACAGCGGCGAACGGGUGAGUAACACGUGAGUAAUCCACCCUCGGUACCGGAAUAGCCCGGGGAAACCCGGAUUAAUGCCGGAUGGCCCAUCUGUUCUUCGGAAUUUGAUGGAAAAGAUAGCUUCGGCCUUCGACCGAGGACGAGCUCGCGGCGGAUUAGCUUGUUGGCGGGGUAAAGGCCCACCAAGGCGACGAUCCGUAGCUGGUCUGAGAGGACGAUCAGCCACACUGGGACUGAGACACGGCCCAGACUCCUACGGGAGGCAGCAGUGGGGAAUCUUGCGCAAUGGGCGAAAGCCUGACGCAGCGACGCCGCGUGAGGGAAGAAGGCCUUCGGGUUGUAAACCUCUUUCAGGAGGGACGAAGCCACUCGGGUUAAUAGCCCAGAGGGUGACGGUACCUCCAGAAGAAGCCCCGGCUAACUACGUGCCAGCCGCCGCGGUAAUAC